UCGGUCCCUAUCUGCCGUGGGCGCUGGAGAACUGAGGGGGGCUGCUCCUAGUACGAGAGGACCGGAGUGGACGCAUCACUGGUGUUCGGGUUGUCAUGCCAAUGGCACUGCCCGGUAGCUAAAUGCGGAAGAGAUAAGUGCUGAAAGCAUCUAAGCACGAAACUUGCCCCGAGAUGAGUUCUCCCUGACUCCUUGAGGGUCCUGAAGGAACGUUGAAGACGACGACGUUGAUAGGCCGGGUGUGUAAGCGCAGCGAUGCGUUGAGCUAACCGGUACUAAUGAACCGUGAGGCUUAACCUU
rnacentral:rRNA from 2 species